rnacentral:rRNA from 2 species
AGACCCGAAACCCGGUGAUCUAGCCAUGGGCAGGUUGAAGGUUGGGUAACACUAACUGGAGGACCGAACCGACUAAUGUUGAAAAAUUAGCGGAUGACCUGUGGCUGGGGGUGAAAGGCCAAUCAAACCGGGAGAUAGCUGGUUCUCCCCGAAAGCUAUUUAGGUAGCGCCUCGUGAAUUCAUCUCCGGGGGUAGAGCACUGUUUCGGCUAGGGGGCCAUCCCGGCUUACCAACCCGAUGCAAACUGCGAAUACCGGAGAAUGUUAUCACGGGAGACACACGGCGGGUGCUAACGUCCGUCGUGAAGAGGGAAACAACCCAGACCGCCAGCUAAGGUCCCAAAGUCAUGGUUAAGUGGGAAACGAUGUGGGAAGGCCCAGACAGCCAGGAUGUUGGCUUAGAAGCAGCCAUCAUUUAAAGAAAGCGUAAUAGCUCACUGGUCGAGUCGGCCUGCGCGGAAGAUGUAACGGGGCUAAACCAUGCACCGAAGCUGCGGCAGCGACGCUGAUGCGUUGUUGGGUAGGGGAGCGUUCUGUAAGCCGUUGAAGGUGGCCUGUGAGGGUUGCUGGAGGUAUCAGAAGUGCGAAUGCUGACAUAAGUAACGAUAAAGCGGGUGAAAAGCCCGCUCGCCGGAAGACCAAGGGUUCCUGUCCAACGUUAAUCGGGGCAGGGUGAGUCGACCCCUAAGGCGAGGCCGAAAGGCGUAGUCGAUGGGAAACGGGUUAAUAUUCCCGUACUUGGUGUUACUGCGAAGGGGGGACGGAGAAGGCUAUGUUGGCCGGGCGACGGUUGUCCCGGUUUAAGCGUGUAGGUGUGUGUUCCAGGUAAAUCCGGUUCACUUUAACACUGAGGCGUGACGACGAGGCACUACGGUGCUGAAGCAACAAAUGCCCUGCUUCCAGGAAAA